GGUUCGAUCGUCCCGGAGGAAAAGCUUGGACGACGUUCAGGAGGCAGUCGCGUCCGGACGCGCGUUCACAUGCCACUGUGUGGCCUACAUCCCAAGUUAAAUUCACACACCGGUGUUCCAGUCUAUUAUAAAUUGGACUGUCGAGGCGUAAGUGCCGCAUGGUAUAAGCCGAGAAGAGCUUCAUUAUUUCACGGUUAGAUUCUUCAGGGACGGAUUUGAGGAAGAGAUUAAGAUUAUGAGUAUAAAGAUUGUUAGGAGGACGCAAGUGUGUUUACGCGUGUGUGUUUUUUAAGAGUGAAAUGAGAUUUUUGUCAAGGAGAAAUUGUUUUAUUUGUGAUAUCGAUGAUUGUGAUUAUGAUUUCGAUUGAAUCGAAUCUUAUUUUUUUUCGAAGUUGAUGGUUUUUGCAAUAAUUUUAACUUUGGAAAGGAUGAAAGUAUAUAUGUGAUAUAUGUGAAAAGUAUUUUAUUGGUUUGAAUAUGAGAUUUUUAAAAAUUAUUUUUAUAUAAUUGAUUAUGUUUAUAAUAUAGAGAAUAAAAUAUUUGCAAAUUAAAUAAAUUAUGUAUGACUUGAGAAUAUUUGAUUAUAUUUAUCUGUAAAAAAGAAAAAGAGAGAAUCAUGAUAAUAUAUAUCGUAUUAUUAUUAUUAUUAUUAUUAAUUGUAUUAAUAAUUUAUUAUUAAUUGUAAAUAUCAAAAUAUCUCAAUGAUGAAUAAACAAAAUACAAAAUAACAAAAUAUCUUUGGCAAGAA